UCUCCUCCCUCCUUGUCAGCGCAAACCCUAAACUUUCUCCAUUACAAUUAGCCGGAAAAUCUGUCGUCUACCACCGAAUCGCCGCCGGAGACGACACCGCACACCUUACAACUCCUUACCACUGUUAAUCCAAAGAUUUGAACCUAAAUGACUACCAAAACAAUCUCAAAACCUACAAAUUCGCCGAUUUAGAUGCCCGACUAAAUUCUAUUCGCCCAAAGCUUAUCGAGGCCUCCAUCAUCGGUUUAACGAAGACGACGGAGGGUGGUGUAAAAUCCGUUUCAAUACAGCAAAAAUCCAUUGAUAUUUCAGCAAUUACAUCGAAAUCGGUUUCGGUUUAAGGCAUAUUCAUUCGGAGAAGUAGUAGAAGACUUUCUAUGAUUCAAUAAAUUGAUCGAAAAUAUUGGGAAAAAAGACCCAAAAAAUUCGAAAAACCCUAUAAUUACAUGGCUAUUCAGAUAAGUUUCUCACACUAAGUUCGUUUCAUCAGUAUUUUGAGCAAUUACAUGUUGGAAUGUUGUUGAUAGACUCUAUUAGGCAGAGAUCCACAGUUGUGACCAAAUAUAGAAAAAUUUUAUAUCACUUUGAGAUUUCAUUUUGAUGCAACACUAUUGUAUAGAAGAGCAUUUUAUAGAAUUUCAGAAUCUGUAUAGGACUUGCUGUCUGUUAGAAAUUAAAGGUUUUAUGACAAUUUACAUGAUUCAAAUGCUUUUUCUAGUGUAUACAUUCUAUAGAUGUUGUGAAAGGAGAUUAUACUAUACUGCAAGCUUUAUAUCUAUAUAUGAUCAACUACAGUUAAUAAAUAAAGACCCGUUUUUGACAGGACUGUACUGUUGGUUUGCUAUGUGCUCUUCUCCCUAUCCUUGGUGGUAGUUUCUUGUGCCCUUCAAGGAAUUGUUUCCAUGACAAAACUAAAUUGGCAAACACCUCUAGUUGCUGAUGAAGAAGAAGAAGAAGAAGGAGAAUGAAAGAAUAUGUAGAAGCAAGAUGAUACCGUAAAAAAACUCACCUGUUUCUGCCACUGGCCAUCAGAUUGAUGAACAAAUAUUGACAUGUGAUAUGAUAUGCAUUCAGGUAAAAAGUGAGUUCUAAUAAAUUCUUAAUUUAAUGGCAAGGAUAUGAAAGGUUUGAGAAGCAAAAUUUCUGUUUGUAUAUAGGAUGAACAACAUCCAUUAAAGAGGGAUCAGAGUCUGUCUCAGGAAUAAUAAGGUUUGAGAAGAAAAUUUAAAAACAUAGAAUGAAAAACAUCCACUGCAGAUGAUCAAGAGAGUUUUUCAGAAAGCAUAAAACAGUAAGAUUUGAAAGGAAGCAACUAAAGAUAUGGAAUGCAGGUUAAAAGAGAACAAAUUUGGGAAGAAAGAAUGUGGAGUUAAAAAGACUGAACUACCUAAUAUUCAGUUGCUUGUUUCAGUUGAUAGUAAUUUUGGAAGAAUGGAGUAGGUUUUAUAGAGAAAAAAACGCGAGCUUACGUGAUAAAAGAUGGGCCUGUUGUGUAAUCCAAAA